AUGCAAGUCGAGCGGUAGCACAGAGAGCUUGCUCUCGGGUGACGAGCGGCGGACGGGUGAGUAAUGUCUGGGAAACUGCCUGAUGGAGGGGGAUAACUACUGGAAACGGUAGCUAAUACCGCAUAACGUCGCAAGACCAAAGUGGGGGACCUUCGGGCCUCAUGCCAUCAGAUGUGCCCAGAUGGGAUUAGCUAGUAGGUGGGGUAACGGCUCACCUAGGCGACGAUCCCUAGCUGGUCUGAGAGGAUGACCAGCCACACUGGAACUGAGACACGGUCCAGACUCCUACGGGAGGCAGCAGUGGGGAAUAUUGCACAAUGGGCGCAAGCCUGAUGCAGCCAUGCCGCGUGUGUGAAGAAGGCCUUCGGGUUGUAAAGCACUUUCAGCGGGGAGGAAGGCGGUGAGGUUAAUAACCUCAUCGAUUGACGUUACCCGCAGAAGAAGCACCGGCUAACUCCGUGCCAGCAGCCGCGGUAAUACGGAGGGUGCAAGCGUUAAUCGGAAUUACUGGGCGUAAAGCGCACGCAGGCGGUCUGUCAAGUCGGAUGUGAAAUCCCCGGGCUCAACCUGGGAACUGCAUUCGAAACUGGCAGGCUAGAGUCUUGUAGAGGGGGGUAGAAUUCCAGGUGUAGCGGUGAAAUGCGUAGAGAUCUGGAGGAAUACCGGUGGCGAAGGCGGCCCCCUGGACAAAGACUGACGCUCAGGUGCGAAAAGCGUGGGGAGCNAAACAGGAUUAGAUACCCCUGGUAGUCCACGCCGUAAACGAUGUCGAUUUGGAGGUUGUGCCCUUGAGGCGUGGCUUCCGGAGCUAACGCGUUAAAUCGACCGCCUGGGGAGUACGGCCGCAAGGUUAAAACUCAAAUGAAUUGACGGGGGCCCGCACAAGCGGUGGAGCAUGUGGUUUAAUUCGAUGCAACGCGAAGAACCUUACCUGGUCUUGACAUCCACAGAACUUUCCAGAGAUGGAUUGGUGCCUUCGGGAACUGUGAGACAGGUGCUGCAUGGCUGUCGUCAGCUCGUGUUGUGAAAUGUUGGGUUAAGUCCCGCAACGAGCGCAACCCUUAUCCUUUGUUGCCAGCGGUUAGGCCGGGAACUCAAAGGAGACUGCCAGUGAUAAACUGGAGGAAGGUGGGGAUGACGUCAAGUCAUCAUGGCCCUUACGACCAGGGCUACACACGUGCUACAAUGGCAUAUACAAAGAGAAGCGACCUCGCGAGAGCAAGCGGACCUCAUAAAGUAUGUCGUAGUCCGGAUUGGAGUCUGCAACUCGACUCCAUGAAGUCGGAAUCGCUAGUAAUCGUAGAUCAGAAUGCUACGGUGAAUACGUUCCCGGGCCUUGUACACACCGCCCGUCACACCAUGGGAGUGGGUUGCAAAAGAAGUAGGUAGCUUAACCUUCGGGAGGGCGCUA
rnacentral:rRNA from 1 species